AGGGCGUAUGGGGGAUGCCUAGGCUCUCAGAGGCGAUGAAGGACGUGAUAAGCUGCGAAAAGCUGCGGGGAUUGGCACAUACGAAUUGAUCCGCAGAUAUCCGAAUGGGGCAACCCACUAUAUUGAAGAUAUAGUACCCGAUAGGGGGCAAACCCGCUGAACUGAAACAUCUAAGUAGGCGGAGGAGAAGAAAACAAAAGUGAUUCCGUAAGUAGUGGCGAGCGAACGCGGAUUAGCCCAAACCAAUGUUGUUACGGCAAUGUUGGGGUUGUAGGACCACGACAUUUCUUGCGGAUUGAAUUAGAAUAACCUGGAAAGGUUAACCAUAGAGGGUGAUAGUCCCGUAUAAGUAAGAGAAGAUAAGGAUAGUGGUAUCCUGAGUAGGGCGGGGCACGUGAAACCCUGUCUGAAUCUGGCGGGACCAUCCGCUAAGGCUAAAUACUCCUGAGAGACCGAUAGUGAACCAGUACUGUGAAGGAAAGGUGAAAAGAACCGUGAAUAACGGAGUGAAAUAGAUCCUGAAACCAUACGCUUACAAGCGGUCGGAGCCCUUUCGUGGGGUGACGGCGUGCCUUUUGCAUAAUGAGCCUACGAGUUACCGUUGCUGGCAAGGAUAAGCACUUCAGGUGUGGAUCCGUAGCGAAAGCGAGUCUGAAUAGGGCGCUUUAGUCAGUAGUGGUAGACGCGAAACCGUGUGAUCUACCCAUGGGCAGGAUGAAGCUGUGGUAACACACAGUGGAGGUCCGAACCGGUUGACGUUGAAAAGUCUUCGGAUGACCUGUGGGUAGGGGUGAAAGGCCAAUCAAACUCGGAAAUAGCUCGUACUCCCCGAAAUGCAUUUAGGUGCAGCGCUGUGUAUAGUUAUAUAGAGGUAGAGCUACUGAUUGGAUGCGGGGGCUUCACCGCCUACCAAUUCCUGACAAACUCCGAAUGCUAUAUAAUGUUUCUCAGCAGUGAGGGCAUGGGUGCUAAGGUCCAUGUCCGAGAGGGAAAGAACCCAGACCAUCAGCUAAGGUCCCCAAAUGUAUGCUAAGUUGAAAAAACGAGGUUUGUCUGCCCAGACAGCUAGGAUGUUGGCUUGGAAGCAGCCAUUCAUUUAAAGAGUGCGUAACAGCUCACUAGUCGAGCGGACGAGCAUGGAUAAUAAUCGGGCAUAAGUAUACUACCGAAGCUAUGGAUUUACGUUUUACGUAAGUGGUAGGGGAGCAUUCUAACAGGGCUGAAGGUGUGAGGCGACUCAUGCUGGACCGGUUAGAAAAGAAAAUGUAGGCAUAAGUAACGAUAAUGCGGGCGAGAAACCCGCACACCGAAAGACUAAGGUUUCCUCAGCUAUGCUAAUCAGCUGAGGGUUAGUCGGGUCCUAAGGCGAACCCGAAAGGGACAGUCGAUGGCCAACGGGUUAAUAUUCCCGUACUACUUAUAAUUGUGAUGGGGUGACGGAGUGAUGAAAGCACCGCGAACUGACGGAAUAGUUCGUUAAAGUACUUAGCUAUAGGUCCCGUAGUAAAAUGCGCGGGAACUGGUGAAAUACGAUAGUACACGGAGUCUUCGGACAAAGUGAUAGUGUGCCUAAGGGCUUCCAAGAAAAACCUCUAAACUUAGAUUAUAAGUACCCGUACCGUAAACCGACACAGGUAGUCGAGGAGAGAAUCCUAAGGUGCUCGAGAGAUUCAUGGCUAAGGAAUUAGGCAAAAUAGACCUGUAACUUCGGGAGAAAGGUCGCCAGCGCAAGCUGGCCGCAGUGAAGAGGUCCAGGCGACUGUUUAUCAAAAACACAGGGCUCUGCAAAAUCGUAAGAUGAAGUAUAGGGCCUGACACCUGCCCGGUGCUGGAAGGUUAAGAGGAGAUGUUAUCUUCGGAGAAGCAUUGAAUUGAAGCCCCAGUAAACGGCGGCCGUAACUAUAACGGUCCUAAGGUAGCGAAAUUCCUUGUCGGGUAAGUUCCGACCUGCACGAAUGGUGUAACGAUCUGGACACUGUCUCAGCCAUGAGCUCGGUGAAAUUGUAGUAUCGGUGAAGAUGCCGAUUACCCGCAGUGGGACGAAAAGACCCUGUGCACCUUUACUAUAGCUUAGUAUUGGUCUUGGAUAAGUGAUGUGUAGGAUAGGUGGGAGACUGUGAAAUGGCGUCGCCAGGCGUUGUGGAGUCAUUGUUGAAAUACCACCCUUUGCUUAUCUGAGAUCUAACCCCGCAAAGC
rnacentral:rRNA from 1 species